rnacentral:rRNA from 1 species
GCUGGCAGCUAGCUCUCUGCAACUGGCACAUGGUCACCCCCUGAAGCUAAUCAGGGCUACACCCGGUCAGUAUCUGGGUGGGAGACCACAUGAGAAAGCUAGGUUGCUGCCAGAA